UUCCAGUCUCCAUGCCUUAAACAGCAUGAGCAUCUCUCGGUGGCCACUGGAAUUCUGAAGUGAAAAUAAACUUUAGACCCAGGACAGCUACUUCAUCUGAUGUUCUGCUAAGGAAAUGGGAAUCUACUCCAGACUUGAAGGGUCAGCAGGUUUGGCUUUUUACAUAUCCUGUUUCUUCUUCCUGGAAGAUCCUAGGCAAAGCAUCUGUUCACCCGGCUAACACUCCUCCUCGUUCCUCAGAUGCCAGCUAAAACAUCACUUCCACCAGGAAGCCUUCCAACACCACCCAGAGUCUGUCUUGUCAUCAAGCAGCACACACGUGCAUCCCCUUACUGCACUGAUCACUCAUUUUUGUAAUGACAUUUGAUUCCUAGGAAAGAAGAACCAGUGACAGACACUAAACAACAGACAGGACUUGAGGACGGAUGGGAUGACUGUAGAGAGAAUUGUUGAACCUUCCCAUUUCCUAUUUUGUUUCCUUUUCCAUCCCCCACACUAUUUCAGGGAAAUCUGUCAUUAUUGCCUAACUCAGAUUUCAUGUCCAUCAGAAGAUAAGAUCUACUUUAUAAGCACUGUUCCUAUCAUGCCAGGCAAUUGGCAAGAAGCUACAGAGAAUGGAGCCUCUACUUGGUUUUUAUUGCAGAACAGCACAUUCCUGGAGACCAUGUCAUAAAGUGGAUCAUUGAAAAGCAAAUUACAUUUUCCCAUAGGAACAAUGUUAUAAUUAGAGGUUGUAUUCCUGAAAAAGGACUUGGCUUCAUGUAAAUAGUAGACAUGAACAAAAAUAUUUCACAAAAGCAAAGAUUCAGUAGCUAUAAAUCCAUAUAAUUGUUUAAAAUAAUAAAAUUUUCUCCAAGUAUUAUAAACCAGGCAGGAUUAGAGGGGCAUGUGUUGAUUAUUGAGGGACUCCAAUGUACCAUAAAGUGUACAUUAAAAUACAACUAUUGUGUCAUAAAUUAGAAUCUGGAACUAACUUUAAUAUAGACAUUACACACUUAAUUAACAAUGGGAAGGCAGUGCAGUACCAUGGUUAAAAUGCAGCCUUGGGUACCAGGAGAUCAAAACUGCAGGUUUGCCUUCUAGACUAGUGAGCUCUGUGAGGGCAGAGGCUACACCUGCCCAGGGUAGGGACAAUGCCUGCACACAGCAUGGUUCAAAAUAGUUUUUACAAUGAACAGCCCAGGUUUGAGUUGCCACUUUGGGCAAGUAAAUCACCUUCUCUGGGUCUAUGUCUCUUUGUUGGUAAAACAAAGAAGCUGAACUGUGAAGCCUCUGAGGUCCCUCCCAAUUCCAAAAUUCUAAGACUGCCAUUUUGUUGUCUUGGAAUUCAGAAGUUCCUGGAUGUGGUUAACUGUCACUUUGGGGAAACUCAGUGAAUAAAGCCUCCAGUAUUCACAUCCUUGUUCAGUCCCCACAAACAUUCUGGGCUUUACCAUGUGAAUGGAUUUAGCUAAUAGGACUUUACCAAGCAAGAUAAAGUAGAGGCUUAAAAAGUACUUGCACACUAGGGCUUGUUCCCGUGGAGCACUCUCAGCCCCAGGUGCCAUUCUGUGAGAAGGCCAAGCCUCAUGGGAAGGCCAAAGGGAGGAGAACCAAGGCAUUCUUGUGAACAGCCCCAGCUAAGCUCCCAACCUACUGCCAGCACCAACUGAGAGUCAUAUGAGUAAGGAUUUUAGACAUUGUAAACCAGGUGAGCCUUUAGAUGACAGCAGCCCCAGCUGACACCAUGUGGAGUAGAAGAACCUCCCAACUGAGCCUAGUCAGCCAAUAGGUAAUGAAAGGUAAUAAAAUAACUGUUUAAAAGCACUACAUCUGGGGUGGUUCAUUGUGCAGCAGUAACUAACUGAAACACUUAAAUGACUUAAAUGGUUUUCGACUUUUGCAAAAAAAUGAACUUUCCAAGGAAUACUGAAUAAAGUCUGUUUUUCUCUGUGUUAAUUUUCCUAUACCGAGAAAUAUUUAAAAUAUUUUAACUAUCUUUAAAUAGACUCAAAAUUCUGUAGUAGUGUUCAAUAAAUAUUUGUAGAAGAUAAAGAUGUUUCCUCUUCCUGAAAAAUAUUUUUCCUCUUUACCUUCUCUUGAGAAAGUAGAGUUGUUCAAAUGCACAAUCAAAUAAAG
rnacentral:lncRNA from 10 species